CAACUUCUCCCUGCUGCGUCGUAUCCUUUGUCACUCCUUCCUUCUCUGCAACGAAAUCUUUGCUCUCCAGUAACUGGCAAGGAGGCAGCGACCGUCGGCCGACGAGGCAACGAGGGGCGGCUACACCCGAGGCGAUCGCUGCCUUGCCAUCAAAAGUUCACAGUUCUAAUUAGUCAUCAAGUGUAAUCUCUCGCCUUGCAGUGGUAAGUUAACGGCGACUGCCUUCCUCGUCGACGUUAUUCAGUUCGUAGAUGACCCAAACCGUUGGUGGGGAUUAUAUACGAGUCGUCCCUACACCUUGUUCGGAACCAAAGCUACACCGAUAUCCCUUCUGUGCCAUGACUUUUCAAGUUUUAGAAGUGUUGUAUUUGUUAUUUAGUAUGAUUCCUUGAAAUUUAAUUUUCUAAUAGUUUUUGUUGCAAUUUAUAUCCUCAAAAAGAAAAGAUGCUGAGAACUUUAGAUUUUGUGCUAACUCUAUGCUAUAUCAUAAAUUUCAAUAUCUAGUGCUUGAUUCAAAAAUUUAUUAACUAAUUCAUAUGCUUCCUGUCUUUAUUUGUAGAUAUGCCGAUGGAGAAAACCUGAGGGGUGCGCUUAGAUCAGAAGUUGAUAGGUCAUUAUCUAAAGACAACAUCAUAAUUGUCAACUCUAUAAACAACAUUAAGGUGAGUGAUUUAUUAGUGUGAUCUUAAUUCUUGUUAUCAAACUAGGCUUAACUAAGUCAUGUCUGGAAUUAGUAUCUAUUUUAUUUUGCUUGUCUUUUUAAUUACUCUGGCUUAAUUUUGUUUUCUGAGCAUGAAAAGUUGACUAAAUUGACAUUUAAUUUUAAUUCCACAUCUCCCGUCUUGUGUAUUUUCUGCUAAGGGAGACAUGCACUCAAUUUCUAUUAUCUUUAAUCUUACUUGUAACUUUCAAUAAAUUUUCUUGCAUAUUGAAAAGGUUAUUCAUGAUAAAAGUUUUCUUGUACCGUAACUGUAGUAUCUCCUAGCCUAGUCUUAUUCAUUAUUUCAAUGCUUAAUUCACAAUUUCUAAUAUAAGUUCAGGAUAAAAGUUAGGACACAUGGCUAACACAUGCCUAGUUUUUUUGGUGUGUGUGUUCAUACUCAGGGUUAUAGAUAUGAGCUAUGACACCUUGCUCGAGUUGCUGGAAUAAGAUAUUGUAUGGUAAUCAUUUAUUAAUACUACUCUAGUGAGCUUAACUAAAUUCACUAUUUUACGAUGUAUUCAGGUUCCAUUAUUGUUUUUUGGUUCCUUUAAUUGUUAUGCCUGGAUAUGAUAAAACUAAAUCUUUGUGCUUAGGAUUAUUUUUUUAUCUAUUCGAGUUCUUUUGAUUUCUAGAAUUCAUAUGACUAGGAGAAAACUCUAAUUCUAACAUUCAGAUUUAGUCUAUUCUGGAUUCUAAUUUUGUAUUUUGAGUUUUGAAUUAUGUGUUUUGAUUCUUGAGUUUUUGAUUUUUAGUCUCUAAGUUACAACUUUAUUAAUUAUGGGUUCUGAAUUUUGUCUUAUGGAUUUUAGUUCUUUUCUUUUGGUUCUAAUUUUUAAUUCAGUUUUGGAUUUGGUUUUAUUUUAGUUUAUAUGUUUUAAAAAAAGAUUUGCAAUGAAACUUGAUAGUGUGAGUUGCAGAGCGAUUGAUUUGAGGCUGAUUCUAGUCCAAUUUGCUAGACGGAUGGCGAGCAAAUGUGUGAUUAUGAUUUUCCCUUUUUAUUGUCAAUUCUUCUUCUUUAUCUAAAAUUCAUACUAAGAUUCACACUUGCACAAACUUCUUGGGUUACAAAAUACAAAGUAGAGUGUUAAUCCAAAAAAUACUCUAUAUUAAAUAUAUCAUUUACUGAUAUCCUCUAAAAUGGGUUAUUGUUUCUUAUAAUAAUUCAUCUUUGUUCAUAUAGCUUUUAUUAAUCUGGAGGGAAAAUAUAGUCUUUACUGAAUUUCCUUUUUAUUGAUUCUUAUAAUAACUCAUCCUCUAUGCUAAAAAAGAAUAUUACAUAUUUAUGUUUGUACAAUCUGGUGCACAUAUCCUCAAGGAUGUUAUUUAUAAUUUUUUAUACGGUGACAAAUAUUGUCCGAGCAAGACGACUAUCCCUACUAUAGAGAAGAAAACCUUCACGUCAUGACAAUCGCUUACUUUCAAGUGGAUCAAUGUUAGAACAUCUAGAUUAUUUCAAUAAUAUUAGUAAUAGUCUAUCUUCAAAAUUAGUUAUAGAAAACUAUGAUACAUAAAUUAUCAAAAAAAUAAAAUUAGAAAAAGCAAUUAAAAAAUAUAUAGUGUAGUAAUAAAUUUAGAGGAGCAUAAAGAGAUUUAAAAUUUAAAUAUUAAAUGAGACAAAUAACUAAGUAGUGAUUAACUUCUAAAUGUGGAUAAGUCUUGCUUUCGAUUUACCUAAUAGGUGAAUUAAGAAAAAAAAAUUAUCUAUCUUCAAAAUUAAUCUAGCGAAAUAUAUUCAUUCAAAUCAUUAAAAAAAUAAAAGCACAUUUAAAAAAUAAAACUAAACCACGAGGAAGUUUGAAAAGUAUUGUAAAGCCAUAAUGAUGAUGGCCUACGUAAAAGAUGACACCAACAACCUCAUCUACGACAAAAGGAACCUUCCAGCCGACCUCUUCACGGUGGGAGUCUGUCAUGCCUCUAAAGGUCCUUAACCCAGGACUCAUCUACGAUCUCUCCGACGGACUAUUAUCCAACCUCUGUGGCCUUGGCUAUAGUGUCUCCGACAUGAGCAUCAUCAUCCAUCAUAAAAUCAACUGCUCAUUGAUCAAGAGCAUCCUAGAAGGAGAGCUCAACUAUCCUUCCAUCACCAUUCGAUUGUUGGCGAACGAGGCAAGGAUGGUAACCUUCACAAGGAUUGCGACCAACAUCGGCGAGGCAGCAGCGACUUACUACGCAAAGUUGGACAUCCCCGAUGUGGUUUCGGCACAUGUAGUUCCAAGACGCUUAACCUUCUAGAAGGUUAAUGAGAAGAGCUUCAGGAUCUAGAAGGUUAAUGAGAAGAGCUUCAGGAUCAGUUUCAAGCGAAGGAGUGACUAUGGGGCGUCAUCACCGGCUGUCGAAGGGCAAUUGAGAUGGGUUUCCCCGGCGAGGAAUGUGAUCAGAAGUCCAAUCUCCAUUUUCCUGGAGUGAUGAUGAUAUAUAUAUAAAACAAACGAACCUAUUAAUUCUCCAUAUGUAUAUUAAUUAUCAUAUUCUUAUUCAUGUAUCUACAUCUAAAUUUAUGAAUAUUGCAGGGACAAGUAUGUGUUAAAUUA